rnacentral:misc_RNA from 1 species
GGGGGGGAGGUCACUUUAUAAGACUUGGGCACCACACAUGUAUGCUUUUAUGAUACUAGCCCAAAAGAGGUAGUAAAGUGAUAAUGAAUGACCUUGUGAUACUAAAACAGCAAUAGAAAAUUUUCCUCAAAUACCAAAGAACUAAAACAAAGGGUACUUUUUUUUCCAAACAAUACAGCUGUCUUAGUAAAUUUAGUCAAAAUGUCAGCAUUACGGUCAAAUACAAAAUGUAGCAGGGCUCAUGUUAUGGCCUUAUUAGCUUGGAUAACUACAUAUUAUCAUUAAAAAAAAAUUUUUCUCAAUAAAAGACAAGGAAUCAGUAACUGGCUCAACUAAAGUCAUGUGCAUGCAUAAGCACUUCUCAUAUUGUGAAAAUAAACAGUCGGCACUAGCUCAAGUGCAGAAAAAGUGUGCAGGAUUGUGCAAAUCCCAAGUUCAAACAAUAUAACUACUCCACACUUGAUUCUGUUUUCCGUUUCUUUUGGGCCAUUACUCUAGCCCUUUCAUCUGCUUGUCAUUCCUAGCUUAGGCAAGCUUUCCCCAUAUUUAAUGUGCCCAAGUCAUAUACAAAGCUGAUAAUUCAGGGUCAAGAUGUAUGAAAUGAAUUCAAAUCAUUAUAGUGGUAAAUCUAAUAGCAAAAUUUUGACUGUUUUUCUUCCUCGAUAGAUUUCCUCAAGACAACCAAUGAAGGGAAAAGUAACAUAUUUGGAAACCAUCCAAAUGCAAAUGCCUUGUGAAGAGAAUCUUGACAGAGUUAGUAAGGUUUUAAAGUCUAAGUAAAAGCCAUACGUUGUGAAGAGAAACCUAAAUGAUAAAAUGUGAAGCAAAGCUGUUUAUGGUUAUGUCUAUUACACAACCCUUAACACAACUGCAUUUGAACAAACUGUUUAUCGUCUCAUCAUUUCCUAUGGAAGAUAAAUAAAGGAAAAAGUUUUUGCAGAAGUUGUCACAGCUGCUGAAUAACUACUUAAAGCAAUCUUCUUUUUCUCUUUUGAUAGAGAAUGAUUUUUAGCAAUAUCAUAUUGCAAUGCACCAAGUCUAUUGUGCAUAGUGGGAGACAUAUAUGAAAACAAAAUGGUAAAUUAACAGUAGGAUGUAAUUAAAUAUAAUCAAAAUAAAAAUUCAAUAGAAAAACAACUAAAAAUUUAUUUCUUUACAUUACAUUAGGCUUCAUUAUUUUCCACCAAAAAUGCACUUAAUUCAUCGUAUAUAUUGAGUUACAUUAAUAUUACUGUACUAGAAAUUAACAAGAAAACUUAAGCUUACACCUUGCCCCGCUAAAAUCUCCCACUUCAAAUGCCAAGACGAGGGAUUAAUAAUAAGAAAAACAAACAAAUUGCAACAUUUAAAACGCAAAUGCCAUAAAAUAUAAGUGAAGAACGAAGAGUUAAAAUUGGAAAUCAAACCUUUUUAUAUAAAGAUUCUCUGGAAGGCGUC